CCUACGGGAGGCAGCAGUGGGGAAUAUUGCACAAUGGGGGAAACCCUGAUGCAGCGACGCCGCGUGAGUGAAGACGUAUUUCGGUACGUAAAGCUCUAUCAGCAGGGAAGAAAAUGACGGUACCUGACUAAGAAGCCCCGGCUAACUACGUGCAAGCAGCCGCGGUAACACGGAGGGGGGAAGCGUUAUCCGGAUUUACUGGGUGUAAAGGGCGCGUAGACGGCAGCGCAAGUCUGGAGUGAAAUCGCAUGGCUUAACCAUGGAACUGCUUUGGAAACUGUGCAGCUAGAGUGCGGGAGAGGUAAGCGGAAUUCCUAGUGUAGCGGUGAAAUGCGUAGAUAUUAGGAGGAACACCAGUGGCGAAGGCGGCUUACUGGACUGUAACUGACGUUGAGGCUCGAAAGCGUGGGGAGCGAACAGGAUUAGAUACCCUUGUAGUC
rnacentral:rRNA from 1 species